GUCGAGCGGAACGACACUAACNAUCCUUCGGGUGCGUUAAUGGGCGUCGAGCGGCGGACGGGUGAGUAAUGCCUAGGAAAUUGCCUUGAUGUGGGGGAUAACCAUUGGAAACGAUGGCUAAUACCGCAUAAUGCCUACGGGCCAAAGAGGGGGACCUUCGGGCCUCUCGCGUCAAGAUAUGCCUAGGUGGGAUUAGCUAGUUGGUGAGGUAAUGGCUCACCAAGGCGACGAUCCCUAGCUGGUCUGAGAGGAUGAUCAGCCACACUGGAACUGAGACACGGUCCAGACUCCUACGGGAGGCAGCAGUGGGGAAUAUUGCACAAUGGGCGAAAGCCUGAUGCAGCCAUGCCGCGUGUAUGAAGAAGGCCUUCGGGUUGUAAAGUACUUUCAGUUGUGAGGAAGGGNGNNNNGUUAAUAGCNNNNUCUCUUGACGUUAGCAACAGAAGAAGCACCGGCUAACUCCGUGCCAGCAGCCGCGGUAAUACGGAGGGUGCGAGCGUUAAUCGGAAUUACUGGGCGUAAAGCGCAUGCAGGUGGUUCAUUAAGUCAGAUGUGAAAGCCCGGGGCUCAACCUCGGAACUGCAUUUGAAACUGGUGAACUAGAGUACUGUAGAGGGGGGUAGAAUUUCAGGUGUAGCGGUGAAAUGCGUAGAGAUCUGAAGGAAUACCAGUGGCGAAGGCGGCCCCCUGGACAGAUACUGACACUCNGAUGCGAAAGCGUGGGGAGCAAACAGGAUUAGAUACCCUGNNAGUCCACGCCGUAAACGAUGUCUACUUG
rnacentral:rRNA from 1 species